rnacentral:ncRNA from 1 species
GCCAAAACGCGCUGUCUACACGCUUUGGCAAUCUGUACACCAGCUGUCCGUACCGACACGGGACAGCGCAGAUGAACAAGGAGGA